UGGAGAGAGCGAUAUUGGGGAGGUUCAAUCCGAUGAAAUGGGAUUUACGCCGUCCGUCGUAAACCUAACAUAUCUGAUUGAGCCGCGCCAAUAUCACUUCCUUCAAC
rfam:Triticum aestivum genome assembly, contig: Triticum_aestivum_CS42_TGACv1_scaffold_542531_6DS